GAUGAACGCUAGCGGCAGGCCUAAUACAUGCAAGUCGAACGGUGUCUUCGGACAUAGUGGCGCACGGGUGCGUAACACGUAUGCAACCUACCUUACAUUGGGGGAUAGCCUUUCGAAAGGGAGAUUAAUACCGCAUAAGACAGUAGCUGGGCAUCCAGCAGCUGUUAAAGAUUUAUCGAUGUAAGCUGGGCAUGCGUCCAAUUAGCUAGUUGGUGAGGUAACGGCUCACCAAGGCAAUGAUUGGUAGGGGAACUGAGAGGUCAAUCCCCCACACUGGCACUGAGAGACGGGCCAGACUCCUACGGGAGGCAGCAGUAGGGAAUAUUGGGCAAUGGACGCAAGUCUGACCCAGCCAUGCCGCGUGCAGGUUGAAGGCGUUAUGCGUUGUAAACUGCUUUUAUACAGGAAGAAACGACUCUUGCGAGAGGCAUUGACGGUACUGUAUGAAUAAGCACCGGCUAACUCCGUGCCAGCAGCCGCAGUAACAC
rnacentral:rRNA from 1 species